rnacentral:rRNA from 1 species
CCUACGGGUGGCUGCAGUGGGGAAUAUUGCACAAUGGGGGAAACCCUGAUGCAGCGACGCCGCGUGAGUGAAGAAGUAAUUCGUUACGUAAAGCUCUAUCAGCCGGGAAGAAAAUGACGGUACCUGAGUAAGAAGCCCCGGCUCACUACGGGCCAGCAGCCGCGGUAAUAAGUCGGGGGCAAGCGUUAUGCGGAUUUACUGGGGGUAAAGGGAGCGUAGACGGUGAGCCAAGUCUGGAGUGAAAUGCCGCAGCUUAACUGCGGAACUGCUUUGGAAACUGGCGAACUAGAGUGCGGGAGGGGUAAGCGGAAUGCGUAGUGUAGCGGUGAAAUGCAUAGAUAGUAGGAAGAACACCGGUGGCGAAGGCAGCAUACGGGACCGUAACUGACGUUGAGGCUCGAAAGCGUGGGGAGCGAACAGGAUUAGAUACCCGAGUAGUC